ACCAACCCAGAGCAUGCCUCAGAUGCCAUGAGAGCCAUGAACGGAGAGUCCCUGUAUGGUCACCAGAUCCGCGUGGAUCAUGCAGGUUGGAGGCCAAGAUCAGCCCUCAGGGAUCAUCAUCAGGACUGCCAUGAGCUGAGCCGCCUUGUUUUCCUGCCGCAAACAUGUGAAAAGAAAGAAAAAAGAAAUAAUAAUAAUAAUAAUGAUAAUAAAGCAGUUUUCCUUCUG